AGUUAUCUGAACCUUCGGGGRACGAUAACGGCGUCGAGCGGCGGACGGGUGAGUAAUGCCUAGGAAAUUGCCCUGAUGUGGGGGAUAACCAUUGGAAACGAUGGCUAAUACCGCAUAAUACCUUCGGGUCAAAGAGGGGGACCUUCGGGCCUCUCGCGUCAGGAUAUGCCUAGGUGGGAUUAGCUAGUUGGUGAGGUAAUGGCUCACCAAGGCGACGAUCCCUAGCUGGUCUGAGAGGAUGAUCAGCCACACUGGAACUGAGACACGGUCCAGACUCCUACGGGAGGCAGCAGUGGGGAAUAUUGCACAAUGGGCGCAAGCCUGAUGCAGCCAUGCCGCGUGUGUGAAGAAGGCCUUCGGGUUGUAAAGCACUUUCAGUCGUGAGGAAGGUAGUGUAGUUAAUAGCUGCAUUAUUUGACGUUAGCGACAGAAGAAGCACCGGCUAACUCCGUGCCAGCAGCCGCGGUAAUACGGAGGGUGCGAGCGUUAAUCGGAAUUACUGGGCGUAAAGCGCAUGCAGGUGGUUUGUUAAGUCAGAUGUGAAAGCCCGGGGCUCAACCUCGGAAUAGCAUUUGAAACUGGCAGACUAGAGUACUGUAGAGGGGGGUAGAAUUUCAGGUGUAGCGGUGAAAUGCGUAGAGAUCUGAAGGAAUACCGGUGGCGAAGGCGGCCCCCUGGACAGAUACUGACACUCAGAUGCGAAAGCGUGGGGAGCAAACAGGAUUAGAUACCCUGGUAGUCCACGCCGUAACGAUGUCUACUUGGAGGUUGUGGCCUUGAGCCGUGGCUUUCGGAGCUAACGCGUUAAGUAGACCGCCUGGGGAGUACGGUCGCAAGAUUAAAACUCAAAUGAAUUGACGGGGGCCCGCACAAGCGGUGGAGCAUGUGGUUUAAUUCGAUGCAACGCGAAGAACCUUACCUACUCUUGACAUCCAGAGA
rnacentral:rRNA from 1 species